UAGCUAUCUUGACAUUUUCAUUGCAGGAGCUGUCAAGAAUAAUCUGGAAGAGUAAAAGAGUCUUAUUGGAAAAUGCCUCCUUACCUUCAGUAAUCUAAUAAUCUACAGUGAACAGCAUAUCUUUUCUUAGGAGAGGUUGUUGUCUUUACACACUUGCCUGCAUGCAGUUUUUGGACUCUCACCAUCACUAAAGGCCAGAAGAGGCACCAAAGGCUGCUCAAACUCGCCUAAGUGGACCUGAUGCACAAAGGGUACCGUUGGGCUAGGCAGAGGGAGUUCUAGCCUGCUCCACCUCCUUGCUGGCUGAUGUUUCCUGGAAAGAGCAAAGUAGCCUGUACAUCACUCCCCUGUAGGAGCAACUAAAUUGGAUCUCUUAAGAGGUGUCUUAACACAGUGUAUAUACAAGUGCUGAUGGUGUGGCCCCAAAAAAUCUGCACAGUCGACAGAGCUGCUGAGGACCACGUGAAAGUGAGCCUGAGGGGACAGAGGAUCACAUCCCACAGGAGGGAGUUGCUUUGAUUUCCCUCUGAAGCAACAUGGGCACGCACAACUGGUGAGCAGCAGGGCAAACCACAGGACUGGAUACUGGUUGCCAAGCCUUUGCCUCCUCAGUGCAGGUUGGUG